rnacentral:rRNA from 1 species
GACGAACGCUGGCGGCGUGCUUAACACAUGCAAGUCGAACGGAAAGGCUCUGCUUUUGUGGGCUGUUCCAGAGGCGAACGGGAGAGUAACACGAGCUUCACCCGCCCCUGACUUUGCUCUAACUUCAGGAAGCUAGUGCUAAUUCCGGACAGCUGCUCCCGCUGCAGGGUGGGGGUUGGAAAGUCUCGGCGGUUGGGGAUGGGCUCGCGGCUUAUCAGCUUGUUGGUGGGGUAGUGGCAUACCAAGGCGUUGACGGGUAGCCGGCCUGAGAGGGUGACCGGCCACACUGGGACUGAGAUACGGCCCAGACUCCUACGGGAGGCAGCAGUGGGGAAUAUUGCGCAAUGGGCGGAAGCCUGACGCAGCAACGCCGCGUGCGGGAUGACGGCCUUCGGGUUGUAAACCGCUUUCGGCAGGGACGAAGCGUGAGUGACGGUACUGGGUAAAGAAGCACCGGCUAACUACGUG